UUUCUCUUAAUUCAACAAGUAUGCUUUGAGUGGUUUUCGAAAUUUUAAAUUAAAUUUUUCAAAAAAAUUUAGAGAGCUCUGUACAACUAAUAAUAUAGUAUUGUAUUAUAACAAGCAAGCCGCCAGCAGAUUUAUUUUUCAAAUUAAGAAAGGAAGAAGGUUGCAAUUUGAAUCUUGAAAUUGUUGAGCAAAAUCAAUUCAAAAUUACAAUUUUGCUCCACAACUUCGCGAAAAGGCUACAAUAAUGAGGUAUUCAAAGAAAGUGUGGUGAAAAAGUGUAAGUAUGUUGUUUCAUGGUGUUAACAGUCGCUUCCGAUGUGGUAAAUUAUUCACAAUCUCGCACAGGAAGUACUUUAUAACGCAUUUACACAAAUAUUGUAAGUUUUAUGAAAACAAAUUGGAAAGUACUAGUAUGAUAGAAUGUAUUGUAUAAGUUACUACAGCAAAGUUGCAGUAAUGUGUUGAAUAAUAAGAUUGCUUGUAGCCGCAGAGACAUUGAAAUGAGUCAAAAGUGCCGUAGUGUUACACAGAAGGACCACAAACAAAUGGCCAAACGAAAGUAAGUGUUUUGCAGUGGAUCGACAGAGUGGUGAUUAACACGGAGUACAAGUGAGUGAGUCAUGAGUGAAAUACAUGGUAGAAGUAGGCCCACAAAUACUUAGCAUUUGAAGAAUCAUAAAUGGUGUUGUUUUUAUAAUAUAUUUCAAUGAGGUAGAUUAGCAAAAUUCUAUAUUCGAUAGAAAAUUUAGUCAUUUACUAGUAUAUUAUUUUAGGAGUUUAGCUUUCUUGGUUGCUUGGUUGUUAAAGUUACGAGUAAAAGAAGUGGGAGAAGUAGUAGUUGUAAAAAACGAAAAAAAAAAAUUAUAAACUUCGCACACACACACCUGUUGUUAUUGAGAAACUAGAAUUCAUGAUCAAUAAUGAGUUUGGAUCGAAACGGUAGGGGUUAGUAAGAUGAUUUAGUAGCUGCUCGCUGCGUUUAGUCCCAAUCGCUGAUGGUGAUGAAGCUAAUGAUGAUUGCAGAUACUUUCUAGUAGCAGCCGUUUGUAAGCCCAAAUUCGAGCGCGGUGUAGCGCUCGACCACGAAUUGUUCAACUGUGUUAAACUCUUACAAGUGGUAUCACGUUGGCCACCGCUCAGUGGACGAAAACUGUUCGACAUGACGCCAACGCCGCCGCCGCUGCCGCCUGUGCUGCUGCUGAGCGUGUAUUUGGCGCGUCCGCUGGCCAAAUGUGUCAUGCUGCGCGACAUAGGGCCGCUGCCACCACCGGCGCCGGCACUACUGCUACCGCUGCCGUGUCGUGGUUUGCUGCCGCGCCUUCGUCCACCGCCCAGCGACUCGGUUUCGUCCAAGAGUUCCAUCUGUUCGCGACGCUCACGUUCGAGUAUGGCGCGUAUGUGCUCGCCAUUGCGACGAAUCGGUUGAGCCAAUUGGUCCAGACGACUCAUGGAGAAGGCACGUCCUGUUUGGCGAUUUUGAUUCGUGGUGGUUUGUUGUUGUUGUUUGUUGGUUAUGAUGCAGGAGAGGAGCAGUGAAUUGAAUUGAAUUUUGAGUUGAGUGAGUUGUUGAAUUUGUGUUGAAAUAUAUACGGUUGAUAAUAAGUAUUUUGAAAUGAUCAAAAUUGAUAAAUACAAAAUUGCAAAUUCAAAAUAUUAGAUAAUGAUUUUAAAAUAUACUUAGUAUUAAGCUAACUAACUUAAAUUAAUCGAACGAAAGGAAUAACUAAAUAUGUUGAUGUAGUAAAUGUAUAUUCCUAUAUAUAUGUAUAUAAUACGAGUAUAAGUAAAUAUUUAUAUUUCGCUCAAAGUGCAUAUGGUGUUUGGCGCAGACGCAACUAACAACACAACGCGCAUGAGAUUGCUGCUUUGGUUCGGUGCAAAUAAUCACAGUGAAACUACAAACAUUGUACAGGUGAAAAAGCGUAUGUGGUUCAACUCAUAGGACGGCACAAAAUACAGUUGGGUGAAAAAAAAUAUUGAAGUGGCUUAAGACAUGCAGCGAAAAACUUGCGAAGUAAUCAGAUUUCAAUUAAAAACAAAAAAAAAAGAAUUCAAACAAAAAA